AAUGCUACGAGACGAAAAAGCUGCGUGCUGCCGAUAUGACAAAAAGCAUAAAAAAUUCUACUUACGAAAGCGUUCUGCCCUAUGAGGACACACGGAAUGAAAGGCAUUAUUCCAGCCCUCUUAGGUACUCUCCUAGGUCUCCAUCCAUGAGGGAAGGGAGACACGAAGUUGCCCCCGGUUACACAGCCGACAUUCACUGGUGCCAGGACGUGACUCCCCCUGGACCAGCUGACGCUCCCACCCGUGCGUGUUUGGUCAGAGGGCCUCGGAAAGAGUCAGAGGUUUGCGUCCUCCAGCUUCGCCGAGAAUUUCUCCACUGCGAGCCGGUCACUAUCACCCAAGACCACACGGAAAGCACACCCCGGGGCUUGCAGGGCAGGGGAGUGACUUCUGAGACGAUGCGCAGGGGACAAAUAUGUCUGCUCAGGCCACUCCGACCGGCGCCUGUGACUCACUGCUCUGUCGCGCUGAGUUCUCGUUGAUGGCAGACAGCAGUGCGUGCCCUCGGCUGACGGCAGAGACCGGGCACUUUCCAACGGCUCUCUUGCUUGUUCGGGGACUUUCCCGGUGUUUUAUAUUAAGCAGCGUGGGCACAGGGGCCACGUGCUUUGCUGAUAAGCCGGGAAGAGUGAAUUGGCAGAUGCCUUCCCAGACAAGGCAGGAAAAGCCGCGUCUGAACAGAAGCGGAGGCUGGCCCGCUUCGCCGGCCGAUGGCAGCGCUGAGGCUCAAAGCGUUAACGGUCUUGGGUCCAGGCACACGGCGCUCAGAGGGAGAAGAAAGCAGAGAGAACCUGAUGGAACUGGGGAGGCGAAGAGGGAGACGGAAAGCCUUUAUCUGGGAAGGAAGCCCGGCUGCCCGGGGGCGGUCUGGUCACUUUUCAAGGCAAGAGCCACCGCACGAAUUAUAGCCGCCCGAGGCUGCUCGCGAACGGGCCUGUUCCCCGAGCUGUGGGACACCCAGAAACACAAAUCCAGCCAGGAGGACCCAGCCACUUCUUGUCACCUGCGGGUGAGAACGGAAAUCCUGACCCCUCUGUGUCACCUGGAAAACCACACGAAGCCGGGAGGACUUGACUUUUGCUAACCGGAGAACAUUCUGCCGGAGCCGGCUGGUGGCUUUCGUAACACGACACAAAGUCAGAGAGGCUCCGCUUGCAAAUUACCAUAUCACAAAAGAUAUUUCACUACAGUUACGCGCCUCGUAGCCGAGAAACCACUGAGUGAAUCAUUGCCGUGAAGCUAUUAACACUAAUAAAACACUGGGCAGGAAAACUA